UUCCAGCGCUCCAUGAUGCUUUUCCACGCAGACGGAAAGCCCCUUAAAACUCAUCUCAGAACUCUCAGUGUUUUGGUUUUCCUUCUUCUCCUAACACACCACUGUAGAGGUCAGUCUCAGCUGAUUGGCUCACCUCAGCCAAUCGUAGCAAACCUUGGCGGUGACAUCAUUUUGCCGUGUUAUUUGGUGCCAGUGCUAAAUGUUGCCGAUUUGACGUUGGAGUGGACGAGGCCCGACAUGGACCCCAGAUUCGUCCAUGUGAUGCGGCUUGGUCACGAGAUGGUGGAU